rnacentral:rRNA from 1 species
CCUACGGGAGGCAGCAGUGGGGAAUAUUGCUCAAUGGGGGAAACUCUGAAGCAGCAACGCCGCGUGGAGGAUGAAGGUUUUCGGAGUGGAAACUCCUUUUGUGAGAGAAGAUAAUGACGGUAUCUGACGAAUAAGCACCGUCUAACUCCGUGCCAGGAGCCGCGGUAAUACGGGGGGUGCAAGCGUUUCCCGGAAUGAGUGGGCGUAAAGAGCGCGUAGGCGGGGUCUCAAGUCAGAUGUGAAAGCCUAUGGCUUAACCAUAGAACUGCAUUUGAAACUGGUAUUCUAGAGUAUUGGAACGGUAGGUGGAAUUCUUGGUGUAGCGGUAAAAUCCGUAGAGAUCAAGAGGAAUACUCAUUGCGAAGGCGACCGGCCAGA